AUCACUUCUUGGCCUUUCAGCUAAGAUCAAGUGUAGUACCUAUUCUUAUCAGUUCAAUAUUUAAACAAGGUUGAGUCUCUCUCAUCUUUGAAAAAAACAGGGACACGUAAUUUAGGACUCUCUCUCUUUUUCCCUUCAUAGCAAUUCUUUCCAAAGAGUAUCUCUU
rnacentral:snRNA from 1 species